GUUAUUGGUAUCUAGGAAUAAUGCACGCUUGUAAAUAUCUAUUCCUGGAUCAUUGAAGACACAUAUCACUUUUGAUCUCUUCUGAUGAAAUAUAUAAGCGCCGACAGAAAGUGGCUUUUGUAUUGGCUGAUAUUUUUUAUUAUAUUCUGUGUUUUCAGAUAUCCCCAUUUCUGAGGGGCAGCAAGUUUUAAAAAGAUUGCCAACCCAGUCCCAUCAACCAACAAAGAGGGGUGUCAAAUCACGUGAGAAAGGUUUGAAGAAACCCCCCGUGAGGGGAGUCAGCACCGCGGAUAUAGUAGCGGAAUUCCUCUGGGGCGAGAAAAGGCCGACGGUAGACUCAAAACCUACGCACAAAUCAAAAGAUGAGAAAGAUCUAUCGUCGGAUAAACAUUCAGAAAAGCAAUGGAAGAUCAGCGAUAAAAAAGUAACACAAGAACAUCGAAAUUCAAAGAGACCUCGCAGUCCCUCCAGACGUUCCAGAAGACCCAGCGGCAGCCCCACGAGGCGUCCGAGCAGACCCACCGGCAGCCCCACUAGAAGCCCAAGGAGGCACCACAGCCCCCAUAAAAGAGAAAAGUCUAGCACAGGUCAUACAGGGGAAUCCGGUUCUGCCAAGGCAAAACUGCAAGACGUGAUUGCCAAGAAGACCUUCAAAACUGGUGACGAUGUAGUCAUAGGAAAAACGAAGUCAGG